GAAGGAGCUGCGGGGCGCGGGAGGAGGAAGUAGAGCCCGGGACCGCCAGGCCACCACCGGCCGCCUCAGCCAUGGACGCGUCCCUGGAGAAGGGAGUCUCGGUCUCUUGCCCAGGCUGGAGUGCAGUGAGGCGAUCUCGGAUCCCUGCAACCUCCGCCUCCCGGAUUCAAGUGAUUCUCCUGCCUCAGCCUCCCGAGCAGCUGUGACUACAGGCGUGUGACACCACACCCGACUAAUUUUUGUAUUCCCAGUAGAGAUGGGGUUUCACCACGUUGGUCAGGAUGGUCUCAAACGCCUGACCUUGUGAUCCUUCAGCCUCAGCCUCCCACGGUGCUGGGAUUACAGGCGUAAGCCACUGCACCUGGCCGGGACUUAGAUUUAUAUUCCCUGAAGUAAUACAGGGCCUUAGAUGGAAUAAACGAUUUAUAUUGGUGCUAAUUGGGCAGAAAAGAAAAAGCAUUGCUGUAAUAUGAAUGUUGAUGACUUUAUGUUCUGAAAAAUAGUCUGGGUCAAAGUGAAACAUUUAAUUGUGUUCAUUAUUCCUGUUUCUUUGAGGAAUAGACUAUCCUGCGUUAAAUUCUACAUUGUUAAUAUAAACUCAAGAGCUAUGUGAGCAGUUGUAAAUGAUCCCAUUUAAACUGAUUGUUGCAUAAUUUAUACUGAUUACAGAAACCACAAUGUUAUUUGAUGCUCACCCUCUAAAAUUUAAAAUAAUAUCUCUCACUUUAAAAUGUAUGUGAAAAAACAAAAACAAAAUGUAGUAUGCGAUCAUCAUUUAGUAGAAUCACUCAGUGAUUUGGAUUUGGUCCAAAUAUAGUUCUGUCCCUUGCUUUUUCUGUUAUGUAAACGUGCAGACCUGUGAUAACAGAGCCAUUUUCUCGUCACGAUUUGCUUUUCUUCCACAACAGUAUCAGUUUUCUUGUAUCUGAGAUCAGUGAUGUCCCAAUAAAUCAGAUGGGUUAAUUGAGGAGGCAAAGGAAAUUCAAACUUAGGAGAGUAGGAGUAGGGGCUUUGCCCCUGCCCCCCAC
rnacentral:lncRNA from 10 species